rnacentral:siRNA from 1 species
UGAUCCUUUCACGAUUGAGUUGGA